rnacentral:rRNA from 1 species
UGGCGGACGGGUGAGUAACGCGUGAGCAACCUGCCCUUCGGAACGGGAUAGUGUCUGGAAACGGACAGUAAUACCGUAUAACGUAUUUUUACCGCAUGAUAGAAAUACCAAAACUGAGGUGCCGAAGGAUGGGCUCGCGUCUGAUUAGAUAGUUGGUGGGGUAACGGCCUACCAAGUCGACGAUCAGUAGCCGGACUGAGAGGUUGAACGGCCACAUUGGGACUGAGACACGGCCCAGACUCCUACGGGAGGCAGCAUG